GAUGUUGAGGUCACCGAGCACCGUGGUAUUCAUCAUGCAUUUGUUCCUGCAGUUGUUCAUAUAUUGUCAUAAUAGUUUAGCAAGCAGGUCAGAGUGAAAAUUAGAAGAUGAACUACCACAAUGCAUUACAUAACUUUAAAUUCUGUCUUCAGCUUGUCUUCUAAUUCAUUCCAUAAUCGACAAUAAUCAAGACAAUUGAUGAAUAUACUAAUCUUGAAGACAUGGGAAAGCAUUUCUGAUGCUCUAUUUGAGUCUGUCGAUAUUGACACACUAGAUUUGGCCUCACAGGGGGGUAACACAGAGUAAGAAUGCUCAGACUUAAUUUAUACACAUGGAACCAAAUACCUCCAUUCACAGGAUGUUCUUUUUCAGUAAGUUGAUACUGGUGAAACACCUCUUGAGGGAUUAGCUUUGGAAGAUGGCUGUCGCUCCUCCUGACUGGAGGCCUGAGACCUCAGAGAGGAGAAAAACAGUAUCAGAUCCAACCGGAGAUAGCAGGGCUUUGCCGUAUAAUUACCAUGUUAACCCAGAUGAUUCUCUCUGAUCUCGGCAAACAUCAGGGCGCAGGCCCCGCCAGGCCGGCUUAGGCACGGAUCUGUCACAGUGCACUGUGGGACGCUGCAUGUAUGUUAGCUCGCUAGCAAUAGGACUUUUGGUGCUAUCUGCAUAUACUUUAUUUUAACCCCCUUGUGUGUUUUAGUUCACACAGUUCAGGCACUUACAUUUUCAAACCUACAUAAAAAAAGAAAAGAAAAUGCAAAUAUUCAUAUGAAAGACCUGCAUGAACUGAGAAAUCUUCCUCUAUUGUUCCUGUUUGGAAAUAUAUUACGACUUGCAUACUUUCAAAAGUGUCAAGAUACAAGACCCCUGUUUUUUUGUAAAAACUUGUUUAAAAUCAUAUUUUCUUCUGAUUAGUUAAUUCCGUCAUUCUACACCUACAUAUCUUUCUUUAAAAUCUAAACCACACAAAGGGAUAUAUGAGAUGAGAGCGCUGUUUCUUCAUUGAAUGUUAUCCUCCUGAAUGUGAGUAGAAAUUCUGUCUUCGGUCGCUUGCUUCCUAAGCCUUAUUGAUCUGUGGGUGUUUUUUUCUCCUCCAUUCUCCAAAGUCACUAAGCUUGCAUCAAUUCAUCUUAAUCUGUUUGCUCCUUAAACCCGGAACAAGGCAUGUCUUGUUUCCUGGUUGUAGGAGUCUCUCGGCUGGCUUCCCUCACAUCCUUCCUGGCCGGGCUUCUCCUGGGUGGCAACAAGAGGCUUUUCAUAUCGAAUCAAGUGUUAUUGAGUUUCCCCACACACCUCUUAUAUUCCCCCCUUUUUUUCAGUCCCUCCAUCACUUCUAUCCCCUUUUAACAAAGCAUUCCUUUAACGACUGUGGGAUUAUGGGCCAACCUUUUGCAGCCGGUCCGUGGACUGGCCUGUAAUCUGACCUCAUUACACCCCUUGUGACAAGCUCCUGGGUCACCACAGAGUGACUAUACCGUAUCCUCCUGAUAAGCCAGGCAGGACACAAGCCCCUACUCCCAAGUUGAUACUCAGCCAACCAAGUCAGGCAUCCAGGCUACCUUUUCCUCAUCGCCAUACCUGUCCAGCUAAGCGUAACGUGCCUUGAUCCUGUUCACUUCCCUUAACUUCUCCUCCAUUACACCCCGGAUGAAUGCUCAUUUGUUUGGGCAGAUGAAAACACAAUUGCGCGGUUCCAGGCAUGUCGGUGUCACCGAUUAUUGUGGAAGGGACAUGUUACACGGGUUCCUAAUUUUCUCCAUAGGGAGUUAAGGCCAGCGAGCUUUUUCCUGAUUACCAUAUAGCCACACACACACACACACAUUUACACACAGACAACGCACACUACACUGUACUGUGUGUUCCCUUCUCUGUCUGGCCUUACACACUGGGCCUAAAGACAAACACGAGUUGCGUGGGGUCUCGUUGUAGAGUCUGCUUUCAUGGUGUAAUCUUAUACAGGUCUAUGUACUAGGUAGUGGCAGUUAUUGCUUUGUAAAUGGCACAUUAACAUAAACUUAUACUGCUUGUAUGUCUUGCUUUGGCAGUUACAGUAACAAGACACUGCAGUAUAUAGCAUUUAAAACACAACUACAUUACAAUAAAGUUCUUAUGUUCUGCUUAUUUCUGUUCGAAAUGAUGUCAGAGGGCAAAGGCUCUAAAGCAAACUUUUUUCUCCAUUUAUCCCUUUUAUCUCUUCAACCUUCUAUGACUCCAGUGCUCCUACAGGUCACCUAUUUAUCCAUCAUCCCUCUCUCUCUUGCUACCCAGUCCAUCCCCUUCUCCAUCCCUUCACUCCCCUUGCAUUUGUCCCUUCAUCCCGCCGGUGUUUGAGGGGCAGCUGUUGACAGCAAGCUGGCAUGUUGUCAGGCCCACAAGGCAGGAUUGUGCGGUUGCACUGUGCUUCAGAGGACAAGGGAGGCCAAAGCAGGUCCAUUACAUCACCCCCAUCAACACUGAUUGGGCUCAGGACGGGGGUCCGUGCAUGCUCAUGAGCGGUUGGCCUGGCCCCGGCCCAUAUGCCUUUAAUACAGGAACAGAUGUGGAGCGCAGACCCUGAGCUCUCACUCCCCUUAUUGCCUCCUUCUGCCCUACACACUGCCUCAAGCCAGUCAUGUUGUCCUGGGCCAUGCUUAGUGGGCCGCUGGUUACAGGUUUAAUGUGAACUAACUGGCAUGCUUAGAUGGUUGCAUGGAGAGUAUUAUUACAUCUCACAUGACCUAACUCCAGAUCUGUCUUUGUUUUGUUCUGCAGGUGAUAGAAACUAUGGAAUUAUUGGCCGAUGGGCAAACUUGUACAUUGUCGAGCCGUUAGGGUUUCUUUUAGACCAAAUGGACCAAAAUGGAUUAAAGAAAGGUGUCAGUUCAUAUCUCAUUACUUAUCAACUACUUAUUGGUAUAUUUCUAGAGUCAGUGAUGAUAACUGUAGCCAAAAUCAAUCCCAUAGACCAAAAGGCCAAACGACAGUGCUGGGACACCCUGAUCAUUUCUAUUGGUCCCAGACAAUCUCUGCUAAAGGCACAUCCACGUAGAGGUCUGAGUCAUUUGUUGGACCUGAACCAGGGGCAACUAGGGAGAGGGACGGGCCACACCCCGGUCCACUAACCUCAUAUCCACAGCGUAAAUAUGGAAUCCAGAUGAGCCAGAGCCAAGACCCAUGUGAUUGUAGUUCAUCACAGGGAUGUUGUACCUCCAGCUCCUGUCAGUGAGCUAUUGCCCCUGUGAGUUUUUUCUGUGUGGCCAAAACAAGAGUAGGCAUGUUUGGUCUGUCAUGUAAUUUCGGCCUUAUAGCUUGUAUGGGUCAAAGCGAGGAGGGAAGGUAGCGACGGAUAUAUUUGCACGUCGACAGAGGAAAGGAAAGAAUCAAUUGUAAAAAAGUAAAUGUAUGGAUGUAAACACUUAUUUAAAAUAGACAGAUGGGGAAACAAAAAGAAUACGAAUAAAAAAGCAAAAAUAUAUGAUGGUAGUCAAGCAACAGACAAGAAGCAGCAGGGGAUGACUCAUAUCUCCUUAAUAGCAUCCUUCUCCUGUUAGCUGUGCCAAAGCGGCAGCCAAUCGGAUCCUGAGGUCUCUGGCAGCUAUUUCCUGGAGAGGGAUUACCGACCCCUCCUAUUGGGCGGGACAAGGCCUCCUGGUCUGAAUUCAUCAGCGACACGGCCUACGAGAUGUAGGAAGCAGGUUAAUAGACACUCAUCAGACAUCUGCCGCUGGGUAUCCGUCCAAUAAUCUUCUCCCUGGAUCAACUGCCAGCAAUUGAUGACCACAUUUUCCCCCCUAAACCCUUCAACUGCCCUUCCUCCCUCCCUGCCUCCCCCCGCUCUCUCCCUCCCCACCUCUCUGUUCCUCCCAAUCGCUCUUCUACGUACACACGAUACACACAGACAACUGCACUCUUAGACCAUCUCUGUGGUUGGGUCAGCACACACACACACACACACACACACACACACACACACACA
ensembl:lncRNA